UACAGAGGUGGCAAGCGUUGUUCGGAAUUACUGGGCGUAAAGGGCGCGUAGGCGGCCCGGUAAGUCCGCUGUGAAAGUCGGGGGCUCAACCCUCGAAUGCCGGUGGAUACUGUCGGGCUAGAGUGCGGGAGAGGCGAGUGGAAUUCCUGGUGUAGCGGUGAAAUGCGCAGAUAUCAGGAGGAACACCGGUGGCGAAGGCGGCAUCCUGGACCAACACUGACGCUGAGUGAGCGAAAGCCAGGGGAGCAAACGGG
rnacentral:rRNA from 1 species